GACGUAGGGGGCCAGCGUUGUUCGGAAUUACUGGGUGUAAAGGGUUCGUAGGCGGUGCGGCAAGUUGGGAGUGAAAUCUCUGGGCUUAACCCAGAGGCUGCUUCCGAAACUGCUGUGCUUGAGUGUGGGAGAGGCGCGUGGAAUUGCAGGUGUAGCGGUGAAAUGCGUAGAUAUCUGCAGGAACACCCGUGGCGAAAGCGGCGCGCUGGACCACUACUGACGCUGAGGAACGAAAAGCUAGGGGAGCAAACAGG
rnacentral:rRNA from 1 species